rnacentral:rRNA from 1 species
CGCGUAGGCUGCCUUAUAAGUCAGGUGUGAAAUCCCGGGGCUUAACCCCGGAAGUGCAUUUGAAACUAUAGGGCUUGAGUAUGGGAGAGGGAAGUGGAAUUCCUGGUGUAGAGGUGAAAUUCGUAGAUAUCAGGAGGAACACCGGUGGCGAAGGCGACUUCCUGGACCAAUACUGACGCUGAGGCGCGAAGGCGGUGGGGAGCAAACA